rnacentral:lncRNA from 1 species
UAUCUCCUUUCCCUCACACCUCCACAACCGGAUAGCCUCUCUCUCUCCCCUUCUCAUUUCUUGGUGCGACACCUCCAUGAAUAGCUAAUGUUGAAGACGGCAGCUCCUUCCUUUGAAAAUUGAAGCCCACACGUUCCUCUUUCUUUACCGAUUCUGCCAGCCACACGCCAACCCCCACUCCCCGUUGGUCCCCUUCGGUCAGAGCCUUCCUCGAUGGCCUCGUUUGUUGACUGAGCAGCACCCCUGAAUCUCGAAGACUGAAGCUGCCCAUUUUCAGCGUCGCACGCCAGCAUCUCCAGCGAAGACCACUCAUCUUCGGUCUUCCUUCGUGCCUUCAAAUCAGUUCACCGAAGGCAGCAUCAACCGGUCAACUGACCGAAUACCACACGACCAGCUGCCCCGAUGAUUUCCACGAAGCCAGUGAUUGAUCACCCUUCGCAACUUCUCUCUCUAUCUCUUGCGGAUCGUCCCCAACAGCGUCCCAGUUCGGCCACGAAUCCGCACGCCCCUGCUCCACCGCUUCUUGCCGUUUGUUGACUGAAGACCUUCAACCCUCCACGCGUCCGAGUCUGUUCUUGGCUCGGUCAACAGCGGCAGCAACCGAAGCUGCUUGGUUGACCGCAAAAGCCCCACCCGUGCAUAGAUCCGUCGCCAGCAGCUGCUUCUCACGUUCCCUCUCUAGCGCCAUCACCGACGCUGCUUCAGUCUUCUUGUUCGGGGCCCAGCUCGUGCAAGCAGCUCCUUUGGGCCACUGAAACCAGCAGUCCAACGAAGCUUCUGCACAAGCCCCGCAAGUCAGCCCAGUCGAAUCUCACCAGUAGCAGCCCAUCAGCAGAAUUUUAUUGAGGCCCAUCUCCUGCAGUCUUCAAGCCCAGUCCAAUCCAAGUGAAUUAAUUGGUCAAGCCCAUUUCAGCAGGCCCAACCCAACUUGGGUCUGGCCCAAAAGCAAGAACAAAUCUCAGUUGGGCUGAGAUUUGUUGGGGCCAAGUCCAAGGCCCGGUCCAAGCCCACCGGUGUUGUCGAAAAUCUGAUUUCGGCUGCCGUCGUGUCGCCGUUGCGGUGAUUCGAUCUCCGCUUUUGUCAAGUGAGUUUUAGUCACUAAAGCUUUCUUAGUUUGCUAAUUAUACUUAAGGUUGGUUAGAUUUAAUUAAAUGCAAUUAGGUGGUUAGAUUAGUUUAGAUCAAUUAAAUUAGAGACUUAAUGAUGCAUGUUAGGUGGUUAGAAAUAGACAUUAGCAAGUAAACAUGCCAUGUUAUUUAUGGAGCGAGUCUCGGUAAUUUUUCGGGCUUGUCUCGGUAUCCAAUUCGGCAUUAUGAGCCUAAAUUGGAUUUUUAUAAUUAUUUAUUUAAUUUUCGAAAUUAAUUAUUUAAUUAUUUAUUUUUCCAGAAAUUCAACCGGGAUGGCCGGUGACCGGAAUUUCGUGCUGAUUGUCGUGGUGCAGUCCGUUUAUUUAUUUGAGCUUUAUUUGGUGCUAAAGUAAUUUAUGAGUGAAUUUAAGAUUUAUUCCUAAAUUGAAUCUGGAGAGGGUCGGGUGGGACCGUAAAGCCAUUAGUUCUUGAGAGGGUCGGGUGGGACCGUAAAGCCACUAGUUCUUGAAAGGGUCCGACUGACACGAAAUCGACUAGGUCGAUUCGAUCGAUGCUUCGAUCGGUGAUGUGAUUGUUUGAAUGCCUAUUGAACUGUACUAAUAUGCAGAUAGAAUCUGAGCCCAAGGUAAGUCAUCCAACUCGUGCCCUGUUUAGGCAGCCUAUAGUGUAUUGGCUUUCUAAUCGAGUCUUAGGGGGUAGGACUCGCUGAGACGUGGUCUCAUUGGUUAUUGAAUAACCAUUUCAGGACCCUGAGGAGAAGCUAAGGAAGAGGAACCUGAAGGGGAGAAAGACUUUUGAAGAAGAAGAUGAUCCAGAGAAGGAUCUUGAAUAUAACCCGGAUGUGGACUGAGAUCCCAUCCCUUUUGUAAACCCUGUCUUAGCAUAGAUAGGUGUGAGACAAGUAUGUUGUGAAUAGUAUUGUAAAUAUACUAUGCGUUGUGCUGUUAAUGAAAGUGUGGUUAUGAAUUUCAAUAUGAAAAAUAUGGCCUACUUUCCUAUCCCAUUGUUUUAUUGUCUGGGGAUUUAUAACUGCUUCCGCAUGUGCUUAAUAAAAAGAAAAGGUCGGCGAUACAUAGUCUUGGGAUAUCGCAUUCUAAAAUCGACCAAGUAGAAGGAUGUGCACGAGUCCGAGGAUCGGGGCGUGACAAUAGCUCACCAGAAGCUGCCGCAAUAUAUAUGUAUAUCAUAAUUGCUCGCCUAAGCGGAUACAUACAUACAUAUAUAUAUAUAUAUAUAUAUAUAUAUAUAUAUAUAUAUAUAAACCAAUGCUUGCCAAAGCUUAUCAUUCAAUAAUAAACCAUAGAACUGGAUAUUCAAUCCAAUAAUAACCAACGGUUCAAACUAGUCAUACAAACCAAUUACGGUGCUAAAAGCCAACACUGGGUAUUUUCAAGUUAAAUACCACAACUUCAUCAAUAUCACUCAAUGCCACACUUUUGGAAUAAUUAACUAUAAUCAUCAAUCACUCAAUUUCUCAAUUUAAACAUACAAUUAACACAAACCGACCGCACUGCUGCGAUCAUCGCGAAAUUCUAACAACCGGCCAUCCCGGCAUAAUUUUCGAAAUUAUUAAAUAACUAAAUUUAAUUCCGAAAAUUAAAUAAUUAAAUAUUAUAUUAUAAUAAUAUAAUUUAAUAAAAUAAUAUUUAAAAAUUCGAAAUAAUGAAUUAAUUAAAAAUAAUUGAUUAGAGCUUAAACAAGAUUAUGCUAAAUUAAACAUACAAUUAGCCUUAAUUAAAAAUCCAUUAAAAUAAUCAUACAACUAAUCUAAAUUACAUUAAAAUAAUCUAAUUUAAUCACAUAAACCUAAUUAGACUAAUCUAAACAUCCUUUAAGCGUCAUUAACUCACUAAGCAAGAAUUAGAGGAUAAACUCACCGGUUUUGCUCGCUGGUGAGUUCACGGCGACCCCGACACCAAGGCGGUCGAUAAACCCCAAAGCGGCGACACCAACGGAGGCCGGGAAGACACUGCAAACGGGCAUCGAAGUCUGGAACUUCUUGUUGUCUACUGCUUCUGAUUUGGGCUGAACUGCAGAGAAGAAACCAGCAACUUCAACGGUGAAAACGGGUCGAUCGGAGCUCCGGCGAGCGGGUGGUUGGCAACCAGCGGCUCCAGGGGGUCAAAGGGAUCUUGCUGGUGGUUGGUAUGGCUGGAGGUAGGGUAGAAAUGGGGAGAAAAUGGCUGAAAAUCGCGAAACAGGCGAAACAGGCGGAACCAGGCGAGUCCAGACGGUCUGACGAGCAGCGACUUCAGGCGGCCGUACGGGACAGCCGGAGAAUCGUUCCGGUGAGCGGUGAGGUGCUCCGGAACGGGCUGGAUGUCGUCUUUGCGGCGAUGGGUGGCUCGUUCGCUAAUUCAACUGGGAAGUUAACUUUUUACUCGGAUCUUUGGCGAAAGGUUGCUGGAGCAGAAAUUGGAACGAGGGGAAAACAAGGGAGGAAAACGGCCGACGAUGGCCUUCCGGGUGUGCGACGAUGGAGGGGCUGGUGAGCUCGGUUCCUCUGAUUUUUGCUGAGCUUCUCUCCUUCAACAACAAUGGAGAAAGCCUUGGAUUAAGGGAGAAGAAGCUGCCGAAGAGUGGGGGGUCUCCUUGGGCUCUCUAAAGCUCAACACUUGCCAUCUUCUCAUUGGCUUUGCCCCCACCAUGACACCACAUGACCUUAGCCACUCUCUCUGCUCCAAUCUUCCUCUACAAGCUUGGCAAUAGGUGCAAAAUGUGGUGUGCCAUGGAAGCUAUGAAUUUUGGACAUUCCCUCAUUCAAUCCAUUCAAUUCUCUCUCAAUUCCAUCCAAUUGAAGCUCAAUUAAAUCAACACAUGUGUCCUCGGCCUUCUCAUGACAUUUCCCUGUCAAAUGAUCCAACUUGCAUCCCGAAGAUUCAAUUAAAAACGGCCCUCUGACAAUCUCGAACAAAUAUGACAUUACUUUACUUUUCUACCAAAAAUCUCGGUUUGUAGAAAAAAUCUUCUGGAGAUGAGUCGACAUUCCUAAAAUGAAUUGUGACUUGACAGAACUUCCAAUUUCUGUAAUCGGGUUCAAUUUUACGGUUAAAUUCAAUCUGGCACGACUUUAGUGCGUCCUAAUCUACCGGGUAGCUUUUAGGAAUUUUCUGUGCAAUUGACAUGUGGUUGAUUAGUUUCAAGCCACAAAAUGCAUCUUCGACACAUUGACGACUCUCGAUUGUUGUAGAAAUCUCGAGGUUUCAAAUACGGACACAGGGUACCAAAACGAUAGAGAAAUCGGUCUAGUGCCGAUCAACAAGAAUUGUGCAAUUAGGUGGAAUCACCCACACUGAAUUACAUGAUUCUGUGAAUCGACCUAUCUCCGGUCUCUAUCGGUUUGUGCCGUAAUGACCCUUGCAGAUUAGUACGGUCGAGCAGGCGUUUACUAGUCGAAUUCUCAAGUCUAUUGCGUUUAGAUUCCUUAACGGCUUCACUGAUAGACUAGUUAUCUCGUGAGUGGCCAACUCAGAGAAGAAAGCUAUAGACGCGAAGAUGAAAUUCCCGACUUAUUUAAUUGAAACCAGAAUUGGAAAAUCGAGAUGUCACACCUCAAGCCCCGCCAUCCUUGCCAUGGCAUGCGCCGACCCGAGACCCAUCUGCUGUGCCGAGCCUCAUCCACAAGGUAUUCCCGGUCAUCUGUCAAGCCAAUUCCGUUGAGCUCGAAUGUGGCAAUAAUUCUUGCAAUAUUAGGUAAUUAUUUUAUCCAAAUUUGAUUUCAGUAUUUUAUUGCCUAAUAUGUGUCUAUUAAUAUCUAGUGUUCAUAUCCAUGCGCGAUAGACAUAACUUUCAAUUAUGAUUUAUUUCCUAAUUCACAACCGCAUAUAAUCUUUGAUUCCACCUAUAAGGCUUUAGACGGAAUUAUUGAUCACGCGGGAAUAAAAUUGAUAUCUUGAUCUUUAAGAUCAAUUUAUCGAUUUUAUUAGCGAAACAAUCAGGUUUGAUUAGAUAUCGUUUCCAAACUCGAACAAUGGAUAAUAUCUUUGAUGACCAUGGAUGAUUUGGUAUUUAUCUUUUAGUUUCUUUAUUUAUUCCAAAAAUACAAAAAAAAAAAAAACUGCAUUUGCAUAUCAUCUAGAUUAGAAUUGAUUUCCUAGAUAGAAUUACAUGAUGGAAUAGUUAGAUUCUUCUUUAAAUGCAUGUUUAGAUGGUAUCUAGGUUAGAUAAUUUCUUUGAAUCAAAUUGCAUGCUGAGAUAAACUUCCAAGUUAAGAUAGGAUUCAGAUUAGUCUAUUUCCUAACUUAAAAUAGAUAAUAUUUCACUUUAAUUAGAUUUUUAUUUUUAGCAAUUUUUAAUUUCGAAUUUUAAUUAAAAAAAAUCAUCAUGCAUAUGUCAUGUAGAAUUAGGGCAUCCUUUGUACUUCAUUGCACGUUAGGAUAAUUUUAAGUUUAGAUUGAUUUAGAUAGAUUGCAUCUUAGGUUAGAGAUUGUUAAGUUAAGAUAAUAUCUUGGUUUAAAUUAGGGUUUAGCCUGACCUAAUCCUUAAUAUAAGUUGGAUAGAAUCUUAAUUUAGCUAGAUAAUUUUCACAUUUUUCUAAUUUCGAAAAUUCAUGGAAAAUACCAAAAAUUAUCUUAGAAUAAAUCAAUUUCAUUCUUUAGAACAGACUGCAUUUUAUUUAUGUCAUGUAGUUUAAGCCAUAUUACCAUGUCAUAUUAUUUCAUGUUAGAUUAGUAUCAUGCAUUGCAUAUUGCAUGAUUUUCAUUAAUCAAGUGAAAACAAAAAAAGAAAUUGCGUGUUAAUUAGAAAUCAUAUUUAGGGUUGUUGAUGUGGAUUCUAAUUUAACAUUGUAGAUGCUUUGGUUGCUUUGAGGUAAGUUUUGCAAUUUAUUCAUUGUUUAUCUGGGUGUUAAAUUGGUGGUUUGUGCACCCGUAUGAUCACCUUACAUGUUAGGGAAAUAGAUUUAAAAUUAAUUUAAGUUGCCUGCAAAAACAUUUUUUGAAAUAAAAGAAUGGUACCGAAAUGGCAUUAGAGAAAUCUAGUAUACCGAAAGGGCAUUAGAGAAAUCUAGUGUAACCAUAUCCCCGUACCCAUAAUCUCUGGUUCGUAGGAAUAAAGUAAAACUCCCAUUACUUUAUUUGGAUUUCUAAUAGACCCACCAAAAGUAGAUUAGUGGCGAAUCUUAAUCGAAAAAUCUUUUGCAUGUUAGAUAUUUGAACUUAAGUCGCGAAUUGAUAUGGGCUUGUGAGGGCCCGAGCUAAGUUAGACUUAGUAGUUCAUUAGCCAAACCCCGAAAAUUUGGUCGCGACAAGUAUGCAGAGGGAACAAAGGGGCAAUAUUAGAUGAAAAACUGCUCUCAUGGAGAAGAGAACAGCCAUUGCAAAAAGGCCAGAAUUCUCCGAGUCAGCUAGGGAUGAGAUUGAGCCAAUGGGGGGGGGGGGGGGGGGUGGUGGAAGCGUCACAUUGCAUUAUCGUCCAGUUUUCGGCAAUCUUUUUUUUUUCCCACUUGAAUUAGCAGUAGCUGACACGUGAAUCAGCAACAAAUCUUCGUUAUGUAUCAGAUCUUUGAUGAAGUUUUUUCAAAAUGUUGGUGUUGAAAUUUGUACCGUGCACCUAAGAGAGAAAUGUUAUGUUUUCAUGUUAUAUGAUUGGGAUCAUAUUACAUAAACUUUUUGACAAUGAGAUGAUAGCCUUAGAAUUAGGACAUCAUAUCUGUAAUAGUUGUAACAUUGCAGAAGGGUUCAGGAGAGAGGGCAGUGAUCCCUCAAGGGUUUUUACCAGUGUAGACUCUCCAACAUAGGGUUCAAAUUUCUGGAGCAUCCAAGCCAAGUUGAGGUGAUCUUGGAUCUCUACCUCAUCAUGCCCCCAGGAGGGACUGGAGCCAUUGGGAUUCCUCUGUUCUGCCUUUUCAUGUUCAUAUACCAUCCUAAACAUGAUCACGAAAAAAGAAGUUUAGGAAUGAAAUCAUCGGUCCCUUUUUUGCUAAUAAUCUCCAUCAUCGGAAGAACCCUGUUUAGUUUGCGGCAUUACUAUGAUAUACGGCAUUACUUUAAUACAAUGCUCAUAAUUUAGGACUAUUUACUGUAUGAUAAUUGAUUGUAUCCAAUUGUUCUGGAAAUCGGCAUUUCCAGGGGAACAUCAUUUCGUGUAGGUUGAUCAAAAGGAGGAGAUUUAUGCCUACCAAUGGACAUGUCGAAUCCGCGCUUUUCGAGCUCACAGUACUCCUGGGUUAAAGCACAGAUCCGCAGCAGAAAUGGACUAAGCAAUCGGCGCAAGGAUUCUCUUGCAGCUGGUAUUGCUGUCUCAUCUUGGUGCGGUAGAAGCAGGAGUAGCAGCAAGCGCACCCGGUCAACAAGGCGAUCACUGUGUAAAUAGCUCCGUGCACAGGGCAUGCUGCAACAAAAACCAAUCCGAGUGAGCAAGUCUAAUAAUGUCGAUCCUUCUUCAAUUCGUGCGAAUGUGAUUGAUUCUUCUUACAAUCUGAUCCCCGUGAUCAGCAAUCUCCGCGAUUUGCCCGAAUGUGAUGUAGGGGCACCAAAAUGACAAGCAACCUGUGAGAUUAACAAGAUAUCAACCUUCAUGAGCCAUAGAUAACACGAAUUUAUCUCUGGAUCCACUUAAACUCAACUAAUACCAAAGUGGUAUAAGAUCAUUCAAUUGCUAAAUUCUGAUAACCCCACGACACUAGGCAAUUGCAAUUGGAUUCUCCAGUCUAUAAACUGUCCGACUUUUGCUCGUAGAUGUCGCCCAGUAGUUGUAUACAUGGCAUAACUGUUCUAUCAAGUGUUAAUCCACCUCUAAACCAAAUGGAUUGCGAAGAAAAUUCCAGAGGACUUGCAAGUUGGAACGUCGUCGAAGCAACUGAAAAGCCCAGAGGACCAAGGCAUGUUGUUAAUGGGUCGAGCUUGAAGACCCGCGGGGGGCAGAGGAUUGUUCGGGGCCCCGAAAUUUGCAUAACUUUGGUUCAUGGGUUGCACUGGAAUGCCAUCCAUGGGUGGCGGCGGUGGCGGAGCAGAGGCACCGGGCUUCUGUGGGUAGCCAUCAGAUGCGUUCGAGGAGUACAUAGCUUCAAUCCACAACUAAAGAUACCGGCUCCAACGAUCAAAGAAGGACGACACGACACAGCGAAAGAUCGAAUGAGGAAGUGAAUCGGGCGAGGGCUAGAGAGGGUUGAAAGAUGAGAUGUUAGGUGAACUGCACAUGAUGUAUACGUCCUAUUUCUAUGCAUCUAACACUCAUAUAUUUGCGUAAAAGAGGGGUUUCGUCAGUGAAUGCUUUCACCAGAAGCGGCCGUGACCAAGCAAGUCGUUGAUCCGCCUUCGAAUCUGUUUGCUGGUCGUGGCAACGACGAAGCGCCAACUUUGACGGUUGAUGGUUAGUUGAAAAGUAAAUGCCUUGUUUAAGCUCUAAGCUAUCGUCGUGCGAUUAAACUACGUAUAGACUUAUAGUUUAGCGCGGUGGGCAACGUUGACAAUGGUGUAAAUUGAGACGAGGUCAGGCAGUUUCGUAUGUAAUUUUGUUUUUUCUAUCGUGAUUUUUUUGGACCAAGUUCAGGUUCUAAAGUUGGACGCGACUUCGCUCUCGUGACGCGACCGUCACACUUUCACACGAAUCGCGACCUCGUUUGUUUCGAGAACACCGAACGUAGUUUCGAGAGGGGUUUGUCACCUAUAAUUAGGUGCAAUGUUGUUAUCAAGACAGCACAGGGCUCAGCAGCUUUUGUUUACGUUCCUUUUGGGAUUCCGGGGUGAAAUUAGGAAGAACUCCAUGGAAGAGACGAGUUAGAGAACUCGGUCCUUUUAUUUUUUGGUUCGAAAGGAGAACUCGGUCUUAGGUGAAGGGAUAAUUGAUUCGUUUUUCCAACCGGCAAGAUUAGAUUUGUUGGAUAGUGUGGACGGGCAUUGAUUGUAUGGGGUUGUGUUUUAGUCCGUGAGAAACAAGUUGGGAUUGUUUGAGAAGAUGCUUGAUCUAGCGAGGGAGUCACGGCCUUUGGGUAGUGGUUGCCGACCCUCGCUUGGUCUCAUUUAAAAAUAAGGAAAAAAUUAUUUAAAAAUUACAAAAAUUGUUCACAUCUAUGUUGGUGAUGUCAUGUAGAAUGCUCACUAUCCAUGUUAGCAAUUUUUUUGCAAAUAUUAGCCGGAUAGACUUUAUUGGCAAAUUAUCAAAAAACUUAGAAUUAAAUUGAUCAAAAUUGAAAGGUUUAAGAUUGAAUUAGUACAUGUGUAAUACGUUUAAGAUUUUUUUUUUUAUAAUAAUUAUUCCAAUUUUCAUCACAUCGGCAAGUGCAAAUAAUGUCAAGUUGGGCUAUCCAUCGAGUUCUGACUUGUGACUUACCUUGCUGCUAAGAUUUAUGAGGUAUUAGAUGGGAUUGUUCUACUUAGGUAAAUGUCCAUUUCAUAGAAGAACAUAUAGGCUUAUUUUUUUUCCUAAUGUGAAUAUCCCUUUGUAAAUGACUAAAUUCUUGCUCACGUCGGAUGAGCUUUAAUGCAUCGACUUAUUAUGACGUGAUUGAGUGAAUUUUUUAUAAAGCCACUUUAUUCACAGGAAAAGAAAGAAAAUAAAAUAGAAUUUGUAUAAAGCCUAAUGUAUUGUGAGGAGAAUUGAGAUAGCUUAUUGCGGACUCUUUUACACAGGGUAAAUGCCCCCUUGCUUCUGACCUUGGGCACGUCCUAAUAUGUUCUCCUCCUUUCUCUUCAUUGAGCAAAAACGCGAUGCCAAAUCGUUCUGAUCGCAACAUCAAUCCAAGUAUGUAUCUAGACCCUCUAUUGUUUGGUGUUGUAAAUUCAUUUACGUGAUUUCAUAAAAUGUAUACCCUUUCCUUCUUUGAGCAGGGCAGACGACAAAACUUAUGUCGACAGAUCGAGCAUGCUACUGUUUACUUUAAAAGUGAAAAUCGCUGGAGUAUGAUGCAUAUAAUAUUUUUUUCAAUGUAAUACACCGUCUUCCCUCAUGCGAAGGGCGAUAAGAUGAUGAUGAAAGCAAUGUGCACAGAUCUGAUAUGCAUUGCCGAAACCAAGCUUAGAAUUAAUUCCUGUCAUGCUAUAUCUAUAUGAUUCGACCACUAAAAGUGGGAAAUUUGUGGAUGGAGUUAAAGAAGACAUUCGAUGCCAACGUUGAAAAUGGUCAACUCAAGGAAAAUGGACAUUGGGUCCAAGCUAUUUUUAUUUCCUAUUUACACGUAAACAAGUAAUAAUGACAAAAAUGAAAAAUGAACUUUGACCCAAUUGCAAUUUGAUCCCCUGAACUUUUAAUUAAUUCAAUGCGGUCCCUAAACUUUGGUCUAAUGUGCAAUGUGGUCCAUAAUCUUUUUAUUUGUUCAAUGCGGUCUUAGGACUUUCAAUACAUAUUCAAUAUAGUCCCUGAACUAUAUACAAAUUGUUGUCCUUCUAUUAAUUUAAGAUCAUGGACAAUGUUGAAUAUUUUCAUAUAAUUUAUGAACUAAAUUGAACAAGACCGGUUCAGAUUGUCGAUCGCAAAGAGCAAGUUCUGCGUACAAAGACUAUUCCCUUAGUCAAAGUGGUUUGGCAAUACCACGGUACAGAAGGAGCAACAUGGGAGACUGAAGAGUCAAUGAGAGAGUUGUACCCCCACCUUUUUGAUCAAGCCUUGUAAGGUCAAUCUAAUGAUAACUCAAUCAGCUUGCUAUUGUCAUGUGUGACAUCCAGGAUUUUCAGUAUUGUUUUCUAUUAAAUUAAUCGGGCAUUUCAUUGACGUGUCUAUAGGGUUGUUCUCAGAGCUGAUCACUCUCGAGAUAACUAGACUAGCUGGGUAUGCCAUUAAAGAAUAUUAAGGCAAUAGACUUGAGAAUUCGACCAGGAAGCGGCUUCUCGACCGCGUUCAUCUUUAGAGGUCAUUACUGCACAGUUAAAGAUCGAAUUGAGAUCAGAGAUAGGUCGGUUCGACUGAGAUGUGUGGCCGAUCGUGGGUGACUCCACUAAAUUGGAAAAUUCUCGUCGACCGGCACUAAUUUGAUUUUCUGUCGUUUUGGUACCCUGUGUUGGUAGUCGAGCCCUCGAGAUUUUCACGACAAUUGAGAGUCGCCAAUGUGUCGAGUGGGUUCAUUGGGGCUCGAAGAAAAUCGACCACGAGUCAAUUGCCCUAAAAAGUUCUGAAAACUACCCGGUAGUCUAGGUCACACUAAAAGCACGUCGGAGUGAAAUUAACCGUCGAUUUGAGUCAGAUUUCAGAAAUCGAAAGUUCAGUGAUGUCACAAGCUAUUUUAGGAGCAUCGACUCAGUCUCAGAAGAUUUUCGGAGAUUCGGGAAAUUUUACGGAAAUUGGGUUCGGACGUCGUGGAAAUUUGGCCGAAGUUCAGAUUGGCUAAAUUAAUGGGAAAUUUGACUUUCGGGUUGAGCCCGUGUGUGUCGGAGAUUUACAGAAAAUUUCUUGGGAUUUUUCUACGUCGAAAUUGGACCUCAAUUUGGGAAUUUAUUGGAGAAAUUGAAGUUCAAAUGGUGAAAUUCGUAUCAUCCCCUCCCCCUAGCCCAAAAUUGACCGAUUGAGAAGUUGGGAGAGUUGUUGAUGUGGCCUAAUGAAGGCCAAGGUUUAAUGCUUGGCCUAGAUUGAUUGUUGAAGAUAUUUCUUGUGGAAAAUUGGCAAGGAUGGCCCACCCUCUCUCUUAUCUUCUUCCUCACGCACGGCUCCUCUUCGUUUUUAACUCUGCGGUCUCAGCUUCUGCUUCAUUUUCUUUCGGUCGAAGUCCAGAUAAGCAAAGCCUCCUCCGCGUGUCUUCCUCAACUCCACUUCUCUGCCAUUCCACUGAAGACACAGCCCACGAUAUCUCUCUCUCCCUUCGCCCGUUUGCCCCCUCUCACGCGGCCAGCUCACCCCUGCUCCACCAUCUCUUGCUCUCUCGGUCAACUUCAGUGAAAUUCCUCUAGCGAAGUCCCCAGGUGUUGAUCGAAACUGCUGCGGUUCAUCCAUCUCCACGCGGCUUCAAAACUCCAGCCUUCGUCAAAGGCUUCAGCAACCGCCACAAGUGUUGCUUCUCUUCAUCCAUGUUCCACCGAAGCCUCUCAACCUCCACCGUUUCGGCCAGCCUCUCCACGCGUCAUCUUCGGUUAACAACAGCAGAUCUUCUCCCAAUUUUGUUGACUCCAUCAACGAAGACCACCCAUCUUCGUGUCUUCUCUCUCUCGCGGCCAGCAAAGCUGAAGCCGCGCGCAUCCAUCACCUGCGGAGCUCAACCGAUUCUUCUCCAUAGGUUCACAAGCCGCUGCCACCUGCCCUUCUUCGGUCAACAUUGCAUCCACCGAAGACCCUGAUCUCACGUCCGCAACUCCAUAUGCGGCCAGCAAAUUCCACCGAAGGAAUCCCAGAACCCCAGCGAAGCAACAGCAUCAUCGAAGCCGUGAGUCCACGGUCUUCAGCCGCAUGAGCAACCGAAAGUCCAUCCCCUGUCCGCGUGAUUUCUCUUCUUCACCCGUAGAACAGUCGGCCCAAGCUUGCAGUCUUUGAGCCCAUCAGUCCAGCAGUUCUUCAGCCAAUUUAAUUCAAGUUGCAGCCCAGUAAUUUGAGGCCCAAUUCAGCAGAAUUUUAUUGAGGCCCAUCUCCUGCAGUCUUCAAGCCCAGUCCAAUCCAAGUGAAUUAAUUGGUCAAGCCCAGUUCAGCAGCCCAUCAACUGAAAUUGGAGGCCCAAUUUCCAGCAAAGAAAUUUGAAGCCCAAGUGAAGUCAGUCCAGAAUUUCAGCAGGCCCAAUUCAACUUGGGUCUGGCCCAAAAGCAAGAACAAAUCUCAGUUGGGCUGAGAUUUGUUGGGCCAAGGUCAAGGCCCGGUCCAAGUCCGCCGGUGUCGUCGAAAGUUCGAUUUCGGUCGCCGUCGCGUCGCCGUUGCGGUGAUUCGGUCUCCGCUUUUGUCAAGUGAGUUUUACUCACUAAUGCUUUAUUAGUUUGCUAAUUAUGCCUUAGGGUUGGUUAGAUUUAAUUACAUGCACUUAGGUGGUUAGAUUAGGUUAGAACAAUUAGUUUAGUGACUUAAUGAUGCAUGUUAGGUGGUUAGACCUAGCUAUUAGCAAGUAGAAAUGUUUGGUUAUUUAUUGAAUGCAUAUCGGGAUUUUUCCCGACCCGUUUCGGGCUCCAAUAAGGCAAUAUGGGCCUAAAUUGGAUUUUUAAUGUUUAUUUAUUUAUUUUCGAAAUUUAUUUAUUUAAUUAAUUAUUUUUCCGGAAAUUCAACCGGGAUGGCCGGUGACCGGAAUUUCGUGCCGAUUGUCGUGGUGCAGACCGUUUAUUUAAUUGAGCUCUACGUUGUGUGGAAUUGAAUUUAUUGUGGAAUUUUAGGAAUUGCCCUAAAUUGUUUGUUAUUGAAUAUUUGAUUGGUUGUUGGCCGAAUAUGGGUAUAUAGCGCCAGUAUGUUGAUGGGCUAUAUAGUAGGGAGAAUGGUGAGACCAAUCAGGUACGAUAUUAUUGGACAUACGUGGUUCGGUGAUGGGAAGUAUCACUGGCGAAAACGGCGCCUUAAAGAACGCACGUAAAUGACUUAUAGACAAACGUGGUUCGGUGGUUAUGGGAAUAUCACUGGUGAAAACGGCGCCUUAAAGAACGCACGAUGUUGUCUAUAGCCGAUGUCACCUUGGCGAAAACGGCGCCCUUGAAAGGACACGUGGUUCGGUGAUCAAGGUUAUCACUGGUGAAAACGGCGCUUUAAAGAACGCACGGUGUCGGUGAUCGGUAUGUCAUUGGCGAAAACGACGCCCGAGAAACACAUGUGAUUUGGUGAAUGAGUACACCACUGGGAAAUCGUGGUAUGAGUGGGAAUGACCUAGAAAGGGUCUGGCUGACAUGUAAUCGACUUAGUCGAUUGACCAGUGCUUGAUCGGAUGUCGUGAAUUGUUUGAAUAUCUGUGUUUAACCUUGAAUUGCAGGUUGGAACUGAGGCUAAGGUAAGUCCUCUGACUCGUGUUGUGCUUAGGCAACCGUAUGGCGUAUUAGUUUAUUAAUCAAGUCUUAGUGGGUAGGACUCGCUGAGACGUGGUCUCAUUGGUUAUUGAAUAACCAUUUCAGGACCCUAAGGAGAAGCUAAGGAAGAGGAACCUGAAGGGGAGAAAGACUUUUGAAGAAGAAGAAGAUCCAGAGAGGGAUCUUGAAUAUAACCCGGAUGUGGAUUGAGAUCCCAUCCCUUUUGUGCACCCUGUCUUAGUGUAGAUAGGUGUGAGACUUUUAUCUUGUAAAUAGUAUUGUAAAUAUUCUAUGAGUGGUGCUGUUAAAGAAAGUGUGGUUAUGAAUUUCAAUAUGAAAAAUAUGGCCUGCUUUCCUAUCCCAUUGUUUUAUUGUCUGGGGAUUUAUAACUGCUUCCGCAUGUGCUUAAUAAAAAGAAAGGGUCGGCGAUACAUAGUCCUGGGAUAUCGCAUAUAAAAAUCGACCAAGUAGAAGGAUGUACGCGCGUCCGAGGAUCGGGGCGUGACAUCCCCUUUUUGUGGUAUCAGAGCGAAGGUCAAGAUUGGAGUGAUAAGGAGCGUUGACCAUGGGAUAGUUAGUAGGAAAGGCCUUUAAAUUCAUGCUGGUGCAUGUUUAUGUUAGCUGAAUGCUAAAAUUGUUUGUGGUGUGUGGAUCGCUCACCUUCUAAUCCAAUGUGGGUUUGGAAGUCGGGUUGCAGUGUAAAGACUGAACCAUGAGCGAGCAGGAGCUAAGAACUCCUAGUAAGAGGACAAUGUCCUUUGUAACUCGGGAUGAUGCACUGACUAAGGUCAGUACCCGAGGUGGCUGUGGCAGAGUAUUGACUCUGGCCAGCUCGAGUGUAAGAGUACCACCGCAGGUUGGUACUAGUGUAGCAGCGUCGAAUGAUCCUAAGUUCGAUAGGAUCGUUCUGAUGCUAGUGUUCCUUGGGAAUUGGAUGAGCCAGCAAGCUCAGGAUCAAGCCGCUGUUGUUGUCGUUAUCAUUACCGCUGUUGUCGCUGCACAUGCUGAGAUCCAGAGUGGAGAUGUAGAUGUGAUUCAAGAGCGAGUCAUUGCAUUCGAGUCGAGGUAUAGAUCCAGUUCAGGCAGAAAUGGAAAUCGGUCAGGGAAAAGACGGAGGUCGAGAGAAAAGCAUUCUAUUCCACUCUCGAGGAAGGAUGGAGUAGUCAAGUCGGCACCGAGUCAAAUAGAUCAGGUUGUUUUCGGACGUGAUGAUGGAAAUCGGCAUUAUGUCCUUCCUAGGACGCGAAUUUGUUUGGAGUAUAGUUAACAGGGAUAUCUGGUCGGGAGUGAUCCUAGCAGAAUGAUGGGUAACCAGAAAGAGUGCAUGCUUUUGCCUAAUAGAAGAUAAAAGAUGCACCAGAUAGGUGUCAGAAUUGUAGAAGGAAGUAUGGAUAAAUCUAGUGUCCGAGUAUGACCAGAACAUGUUGUGAUGAUGACUAGCAUGGCCAUCAGGUGAAGGAUUGUCAGUGGAAGUCCAAGGUAGCAUAGACAUCGCUACUGCGGCAGAACGCCACUAGGAUGGCGAAAGGAAUGGGAGUAGAAUUGAUCUUGCACCGAUUAGAGAAAGAAUGUAUUGGAGGUGAUUUUAUCAGAGUAACGUAGCAGAGUUUUGUGCUGAGUUUGUAGAACUUAAAUUGUUGAAGUAAAAGUGAAAGAGAAGGGAAUCACUAGCAAUAGUUGUGCUUGACUAGUUGCUGAGGUGUGAGUUCGACACCACAUGAAUAGUGUGAGUUCAUAAAGCAUCUUGUAAUAAGGAAUCAUGGUCAUGGAAUAAUCCAGUUUAGUCUAUUAGUUUGCAAAAAUAGCAAGAUUAUUAAGAGUCGAAAAGAAUCUUCGAUUUCAUUAAUCUCGUUGGCUAAAGACAAUCCGUUUGUUAGACGGAGGUUACCAAGAUUGAUUUGACAGCGGUAGUGGAUGUGUCAGUUAAGAAAUAGAAUGAGAAGAAGGUGGCCGUGAUACAGAAAAUUUAUAAGAUGGUUCCAAAGGAAUUGCUUGGGUUACCGCCAGAAAGAAAGAUUGAAAUUGCAAUUGAGAUAGCACCAGGAUAGAGCCGCUCUCGAAGACUUCUUACCAGCUGUUGUUGUCUAAAGUGGUAGAAUGGAAGAUGCAGAUGUGAAGAUUGAUGAAUGAGGAAUUCGUGUAUAUCGGUGCAUCACUUUUGGGAAACAUCAGUCUUGUUUGUGAGAAGAAGAAAGAUGGUUUAUUGCGAGUGUGCAUCAACUAUCGUCAACUCAAUUAGGUGAAGAUCAAGGACAAGUGUUCUUUGCCAAAGAUCAUUGAAUGGUGUGACUAGUUAUAAAGAGUAUCGAUGUUUUAAAGGUCGACUUGAGAUUAUGAAGUCGUUAGUUACGAACCAGGAAGGAGGUUGUACGAAAGACAGCUGUUCGUACUUGAUAUGGUCUUUACGAGAGUAUUGUAAGAUCGUUUGGCUUGGUGAACACUCCAGUUUCUGUCAUGGAUUUGACAAACAGAACGUUCAAUGAAUAAGUGGAUCAUCAGUUUGUGAUUGUGUUCGUUGAUGACAUCUUAGUCUAUUCGAGAAGUGAUGAAGAGCAUGAGAAUCAUCUGAGAUUAGUGCUUCAGACCUUAAGAACUCAUCACCUGUAUGCUAAGUUUAGCAAAUGCGAGUUUUGGUUGACUCGUGUCGCGUUCUUAGGUCAUGUGAUUUCCGGUGAAGGAAUCUCUGUCGACCAGAGCAAGAUAGAAGCCGUGAUCAAUUGGCAGAGACCGACAUCAGUGACAGAAAUCAGAAGUUUUCUGGGAUUGGCAGGUUAUUACAGACGGUUUGUAGAAGGUUUCUCAGCGUUAGCAUCGCCUCUAACUAAGCUCACGAAGAAAGACGAAAAGUUUAUAUGGACAGACAAGUGCGAGCGUAGUUUUCAAGAGCUGAAAGAAAAGCUGACUACCGCACCUGUGCUGAUAAUUCCAUCGGGUCCUGGAGGAUUCGAAAUCUAUAGUGAUGCGUCAUUCAAGGGGUUGGGUUGCGUGCUGAUGCAACAUGGCAGAGUUGUUGCAUACGCUUCCAGGCAGUUGAGACCUCAUGAAUUGAACUAUCCGACGCACGACUUAGAGCUCGCCGUGAUUAUCUUUGCCUUGAAGAUUUGGAGACAUUAUCUGUGUGGUGAAAAGUUUCAGAUCUUCACGGACCAUCAAAGUCUCAAGUAUUUAUUCUCUCAGAAGGAGUUGAACAUGAGACAGCGCCGAUGGAUGGAACUACUGAAAGACUACGACUGUGACAUUUUGUAUCACCCAGGAAAGGCGAACAAAGUCGCCGAUGCACUGAGUCGAAAGUCUUCAGUGGCUCAUAUACUGAUUAAGGAGUGGAACUUAAUCGAGAGAGCUCGGGAUUCGGUGUUCAAAUUUGAGGUAGGCCACCUCUCGAGUUUUAUGGCCACCCUCAGAAUUGAACCGGAUGUUCAGGUUAGAAUUAAACAACUCCAACCGACAGACCCAGAUGUACAGAGAAUUCUUCAGGAAGACGCAGAGGAAAGAAAAGCUGAUUUUCAGAUUGCUGAUGACGGAACACUAAGAUUCCAAGGAUGAUUGGUUGUACCUGAUGAUGUAGAGCUUAGAGAAGAAAUCUUAUCUGAAGCACAUCGUAGUAGUUACAGCAUUCAUCCUGGAAGCACUAAGAUGUAUCAGAAUUUGCGUCAACACUAUUGGUGGUCAGGUAUGAAGGCGGACAUCGCCAAGCAUGUGGCCAAGUGUUUGACUUGUCAGCAAGUAAAAGCCCAGCAUUGCAAGCUGGGAGGACUUUUGCAACCUCUCGCGAUCCCAGAGUGGAAAUGGGAGCAUAUCACGAUGGAUUUCGUGACUGGACUACCAAGGAGUCAGAGAGGGAAUGAUUCGAUCUGGGUGGUAGUCGAUAGAUUGACAAAGUCGGCUCACUUCAUUGCAGUUCGAAAGGACCUCAGUUUGAAUAGGCACGCAGACCUAUAUGUGCGCCAAGUGGUUCGAAUGCAUGGAGUGCCCGUUACGAUAACGUCCGAUAGAGACCCGAGAUUUACUGCUGCUUUUUGGAAGAGCUUGCAGAGUGCUCUUGGUACAAAGCUUCAGUACAGUACGGCUUAUCAUCCUCAGACGGAUGGCCAGUCCGAGAGGACAAUACAAACCCUCGAGGACAUGCUGAGAGCAUGUGUUAUAAACUUCAAAGGAAGUUGGGAAGAUCAGCUUCAUCUCGUAGAAUUUGCCUACAUCAACAGUUAUCAGCAGAGUAUUCAGAUGGCCCCAUUUGAAGCACUGUAUGGCAGAGCGUGCAGAACACCAGUGUGUUGGGAUGAAGUUGGGGAAAGAAAGAUAACAGGCCCAGAGUUGGUUCAGCAGUCAGUAGAUGCCGUAGCAGUGAUCAGAGACAGAUUAAAGACAGCGCAGAGCAGGCAGAAAAGUUAUACAGAUAAGCGUCGAAGGUCUUUGGAAUUCCAAGUUGGUGAUCACGUUUUUCUGAAGGUGUCACCAAUGAGGGGAACUUCGCGCUUUGGUAAGAAAGGCAAACUGAGUCCGAGGUACGUAGGUCCAUUUGAGAUUCUUGAGAGAAUCGGGACCUUAGCGUAUCGUCUUGCGUUGCCGCCAAGAUUGGCGCAAGUGCAUGACGUCUUUCACGUGUCGAUGUUGAGGAAGUACGAGCCUGACUCGACCCACGUACUCAAUUUUGAAGAAUUGGGCGUGGAUGACCGUGUGUCAUACGUCGAAAGACCGGUUCAGAUUGUCGAUCGCAAAGAGCAAGUUCUGCGUACAAAGACUAUUCCCUUAGUCAAAGUGGUUUGGCAAUACCACGGUACAGAAGGAGCAACAUGGGAGACUGAAGAGUCAAUGAGAGAGUUGUACCCCCACCUUUUUGAUCAAGCCUUGUAAGGUUUAAAUUUCGAGGACGAAAUUUUUAUCAGAGGGGAAGAGUUGUGACAUCCAGGAUUUUCAGUAUUGUUUUCUAUUAAAUUAAUCGGGCAUUUCAUUGACGUGUCUAUAGGGUUGUUCUCAGAGCUGAUCACUCUCGAGAUAACUAGACUAGCUGGGUAUGCCAUUAAAGAAUAUUAAGGCAAUAGACUUGAGAAUUCGACCAGGAAGCGGCUUCUCGACCGCGUUCAUCUUUAGAGGUCAUUACUGCACAGUUAAAGAUCGAAUUGAGAUCAGAGAUAGGUCGGUUCGACUGAGAUGUGUGGCCGAUCGUGGGUGACUCCACUAAAUUGGAAAAUUCUCGUCGACCGGCACUAAUUUGAUUUUCUGUCGUUUUGGUACCCUGUGUUGGUAGUCGAGCCCUCGAGAUUUUCACGACAAUUGAGAGUCGCCAAUGUGUCGAGUGGGUUCAUUGGGGCUCGAAGAAAAUCGACCACGAGUCAAUUGCCCUAAAAAGUUCUGAAAACUACCCGGUAGUCUAGGUCACACUAAAAGCACGCCGGAGUGAAAUUAACCGUCGAUUUGAGUCAGAUUUCAGAAAUCGAAAGUUCAGUGAUGUCACAAGCUAUUUUAGGAGCAUCGACUCAGUCUCAGAAGAUUUUCGGAGAUUCGGGAAAUUUUACGGAAAUUGGGUUCGGACGUCGUGGAAAUUUGGCCGAAGUUCAGAUUGGCUAAAUUAAUGGGAAAUUUGACUUUCGGGUUGAGCCCGUGUGUGUCGGAGAUUUACAGAAAAUUUCUUGGGAUUUUUCUACGUCGAAAUUGGACCUCAAUUUGGGAAUUUAUUGGAGAAAUUGAAGUUCAAAUGGUGAAAUUCGUAUCAUCCCCUCCCCCUAGCCCAAAAUUGACCGAUUGAGAAGUUGGGAGAGUUGUUGAUGUGGCCUAAUGAAGGCCAAGGUUUAAUGCUUGGCCUAGAUUGAUUGUUGAAGAUAUUUCUUGUGGAAAAUUGGCAAGGAUGGCCCACCCUCUCUCUUAUCUUCUUCCUCACGCACGGCUCCUCUUCGUUUUUAACUCUGCGGUCUCAGCUUCUGCUUCAUUUUCUUUCGGUCGAAGUCCAGAUAAGCAAAGCCUCCUCCGCGUGUCUUCCUCAACUCCACUUCUCUGCCAUUCCACUGAAGACACAGCCCACGAUAUCUCUCUCUCCCUUCGCCCGUUUGCCCCCUCUCACGCGGCCAGCUCACCCCUGCUCCACCAUCUCUUGCUCUCUCGGUCAACUUCAGUGAAAUUCCUCUAGCGAAGUCCCCAGGUGUUGAUCGAAACUGCUGCGGUUCAUCCAUCUCCACGCGGCUUCAAAACUCCAGCCUUCGUCAAAGGCUUCAGCAACCGCCACAAGUGUUGCUUCUCUUCAUCCAUGUUCCACCGAAGCCUCUCAACCUCCACCGUUUCGGCCAGCCUCUCCACGCGUCAUCUUCGGUUAACAACAGCAGAUCUUCUCCCAAUUUUGUUGACUCCAUCAACGAAGACCACCCAUCUUCGUGUCUUCUCUCUCUCGCGGCCAGCAAAGCUGAAGCCGCGCGCAUCCAUCACCUGCGGAGCUCAACCGAUUCUUCUCCAUAGGUUCACAAGCCGCUGCCACCUGCCCUUCUUCGGUCAACAUUGCAUCCACCGAAGACCCUGAUCUCACGUCCGCAACUCCAUAUGCGGCCAGCAAAUUCCACCGAAGGAAUCCCAGAACCCCAGCGAAGCAACAGCAUCAUCGAAGCCGUGAGUCCACGGUCUUCAGCCGCAUGAGCAACCGAAAGUCCAUCCCCUGUCCGCGUGAUUUCUCUUCUUCACCCGUAGAACAGUCGGCCCAAGCUUGCAGUCUUUGAGCCCAUCAGUCCAGCAGUUCUUCAGCCAAUUUAAUUCAAGUUGCAGCCCAGUAAUUUGAGGCCCAAUUCAGCAGAAUUUUAUUGAGGCCCAUCUCCUGCAGUCUUCAAGCCCAGUCCAAUCCAAGUGAAUUAAUUGGUCAAGCCCAGUUCAGCAGCCCAUCAACUGAAAUUGGAGGCCCAAUUUCCAGCAAAGAAAUUUGAAGCCCAAGUGAAGUCAGUCCAGAAUUUCAGCAGGCCCAAUUCAACUUGGGUCUGGCCCAAAAGCAAGAACAAAUCUCAGUUGGGCUGAGAUUUGUUGGGCCAAGGUCAAGGCCCGGUCCAAGUCCGCCGGUGUCGUCGAAAGUUCGAUUUCGGUCGCCGUCGCGUCGCCGUUGCGGUGAUUCGGUCUCCGCUUUUGUCAAGUGAGUUUUACUCACUAAUGCUUUAUUAGUUUGCUAAUUAUGCCUUAGGGUUGGUUAGAUUUAAUUACAUGCACUUAGGUGGUUAGAUUAGGUUAGAACAAUUAGUUUAGUGACUUAAUGAUGCAUGUUAGGUGGUUAGACCUAGCUAUUAGCAAGUAGAAAUGUUUGGUUAUUUAUUGAAUGCAUAUCGGGAUUUUUCCCGACCCGUUUCGGGCUCCAAUAAGGCAAUAUGGGCCUAAAUUGGAUUUUUAAUGUUUAUUUAUUUAUUUUCGAAAUUUAUUUAUUUAAUUAAUUAUUUUUCCGGAAAUUCAACCGGGAUGGCCGGUGACCGGAAUUUCGUGCCGAUUGUCGUGGUGCAGACCGUUUAUUUAAUUGAGCUCUACGUUGUGUGGAAUUGAAUUUAUUGUGGAAUUUUAGGAAUUGCCCUAAAUUGUUUGUUAUUGAAUAUUUGAUUGGUUGUUGGCCGAAUAUGGGUAUAUAGCGCCAGUAUGUUGAUGGGCUAUAUAGUAGGGAGAAUGGUGAGACCAAUCAGGUACGAUAUUAUUGGACAUACGUGGUUCGGUGAUGGGAAGUAUCACUGGCGAAAACGGCGCCUUAAAGAACGCACGUAAAUGACUUAUAGACAAACGUGGUUCGGUGGUUAUGGGAAUAUCACUGGUGAAAACGGCGCCUUAAAGAACGCACGAUGUUGUCUAUAGCCGAUGUCACCUUGGCGAAAACGGCGCCCUUGAAAGGACACGUGGUUCGGUGAUCAAGGUUAUCACUGGUGAAAACGGCGCUUUAAAGAACGCACGGUGUCGGUGAUCGGUAUGUCAUUGGCGAAAACGACGCCCGAGAAACACAUGUGAUUUGGUGAAUGAGUACACCACUGGGAAAUCGUGGUAUGAGUGGGAAUGACCUAGAAAGGGUCUGGCUGACAUGUAAUCGACUUAGUCGAUUGACCAGUGCUUGAUCGGAUGUCGUGAAUUGUUUGAAUAUCUGUGUUUAACCUUGAAUUGCAGGUUGGAACUGAGGCUAAGGUAAGUCCUCUGACUCGUGUUGUGCUUAGGCAACCGUAUGGCGUAUUAGUUUAUUAAUCAAGUCUUAGUGGGUAGGACUCGCUGAGACGUGGUCUCAUUGGUUAUUGAAUAACCAUUUCAGGACCCUAAGGAGAAGCUAAGGAAGAGGAACCUGAAGGGGAGAAAGACUUUUGAAGAAGAAGAAGAUCCAGAGAGGGAUCUUGAAUAUAACCCGGAUGUGGAUUGAGAUCCCAUCCCUUUUGUGCACCCUGUCUUAGUGUAGAUAGGUGUGAGACUUUUAUCUUGUAAAUAGUAUUGUAAAUAUUCUAUGAGUGGUGCUGUUAAAGAAAGUGUGGUUAUGAAUUUCAAUAUGAAAAAUAUGGCCUGCUUUCCUAUCCCAUUGUUUUAUUGUCUGGGGAUUUAUAACUGCUUCCGCAUGUGCUUAAUAAAAAGAAAG